UAGGGAAUAUUGGACAAUGGGUGAGAGCCUGAUCCAGCCAUGCCGCGUGCAGGAAGAAGGCGUUAUGCGUUGUAAACUGCUUUUUGCCAGGGGAUAAAAAGACCGUGCGCGGUUAAUUGAAGGUACCUGGUGAAUAAGCCACGGCUAACUACGUGCCAGCAGCCGCGGUAAUACGUAGGUGGCAAGCGUUGUCCGGAUUUAUUGGGUUUAAAGGUGCGUAGGUGGCCCUGUAAGUCAGUGGUGAAAUAUCUCAGCUUAACUGAGAGGGUGCCAUUGAUACUGCAGGGCUUGAGUACAGAUGAGGUAGGCGGAAUUGACGGUGUAGCGGUGAAAUGCAUAGAUAUCGUCAAGAACACCGAUAGCGAAGGCAGCUUACCAAGCUGUAACUGACACUGAGGCACGAAAGUGUGGGGAUCGAAACAGGAUUAGAUACCCUCGUAGUCCCUGAGCGGGCUGGCAAGGCGCAU
rnacentral:rRNA from 1 species